CCUACGGGUGGCAGCAGUGGGGAAUAUUGCACAAUGGGCGCAAGCCUGAUGCAGCCAUGCCGCGUGUGUGAAGAAGGCCUUCGGGUUGUAAAGCACUUUCAGCGGGGAGGAAGGCGUUAAGGUUAAUAACCUUGGCGAUUGACGUUACCCGCAGAAGAAGCACCGGCUAACUCCGUGCCAGCAGCCGCGGUAAUACGGAGGGUGCAAGCGUUAAUCGGAAUUACUGGGCGUAAAGCGCACGCAGGCGGUCUGUCAAGUCGGAUGUGAAAUCCCCGGGCCCAACCUGGGAACUGCAUUCGAAACGGGCAGGCUAGAGUCUUGUAGAGGGGGGUAGAAUUCCAGGUGUAGCGGUGAAAUGCGUAGAGAUCUGGAGGAAUACCGGUGGCGAAGGCGGCCCCCUGGACAAAGACUGACGCUCAGGUGCGAAAGCGUGGGGAGCAAACAGGAUUAGAUACCCGUGUAGUC
rnacentral:rRNA from 1 species